rnacentral:rRNA from 1 species
GAAUAAGCAUCGGCUAACUCCGUGCCAGCAGCCGCGGUAAUACGGGGGAUGCAAGCGUUAUCCGGAAUCAUUGGGCGUAAAGCGCCUGUAGGUUGUUUAUUAAGUCUGUUGUUAAAGACUAGGGCUUAACCCUAGAAAAGCAAUGGAAACUAAUAGACUCGAGUAUGGCAGGGGUAGAGGGAAUUUCUAGUGUAGCGGUGAAAUGCGUAGAUAUUAGAAAGAACACCGGUGGCGAAAGCGCUCUACUGGACCAUUACUGACACUCAGAGGCGAAAGCUAGGGUAGCAAAAGGGAUUAGAUACCCCUGUAGUCCUAGCCGUAAACGAUGGAUACUAGAUGUUGUGCAUUAAGUACAGUAUCGUAGCUAACGCGUUAAGUAUCCCGCCUGGGGAGUACGCUCGCAAGGGUGAAACUCAAAGGAAUUGACGGGGGCCCGCACAAGCGGUGGAGCAUGUGGUUUAAUUCGAUGCAACGCGAAGAACCUUACCAGGGCUUGACAUACUACGAAUUCUUUUGAAAAAGAGAAGUGCCUUCGGGAAUGUAGAUACAGGUGGUGCAUGGCUGUCGUCAGCUCGUGUCGUGAGAUGUUGGGUUAAGUCCCGCAACGAGCGCAACCCUUAUUUUUAGUUACCAAUUCGUUGGGUUCUCUAGAAAGACUGCCGGUGACAAACCGGAGGAAGGUGAGGAUGACGUCAAGUCAGCAUGCCCCUUAUGUCCUGGGCUACACACGUGCUACAAUGGUUAAGACAAAGAGUCGCGAGCUUGUGAAAGUCAGCUAAUCUCAUAAACUUAGCCUAAGUUCAGAUUGUAGGCUGCAACUC